rnacentral:rRNA from 1 species
GGAGAGUUUGAUCCUGGCUCAGGACGAACGCUGGCGGCGUGCCUAAUACAUGCAAGUCGAGCGGACAGAUGGGAGCUUGCUCCCUGAUGUUAGCGGCGGACGGGUGAGUAACACGUGGGUAACCUGCCUGUAAGACUGGGAUAACUCCGGGAAACCGGGGCUAAUACCGGAUGGUUGUUUGAACCGCAUGGUUCAAACAUAAAAGGUGGCUUCGGCUACCACUUACAGAUGGACCCGCGGCGCAUUAGCUAGUUGGUGAGGUAAUGGCUCACCAAGGCAACGAUGCGUAGCCGACCUGAGAGGGUGAUCGGCCACACUGGGACUGAGACACGGCCCAGACUCCUACGGGAGGCAGCAGUAGGGAAUCUUCCGCAAUGGACGAAAGUCUGACGGAGCAACGCCGCGUGAGUGAUGAAGGUUUUCGGAUCGUAAAGCUCUGUUGUUAGGGAAGAACAAGUACCGUUCGAAUAGGGCGGUACCUUGACGGUACCUAACCAGAAAGCCACGGCUAACUACGUGCCAGCAGCCGCGGUAAUACGUAGGUGGCAAGCGUUGUCCGGAAUUAUUGGGCGUAAAGGGCUCGCAGGCGGUUUCUUAAGUCUGAUGUGAAAGCCCCCGGCUCAACCGGGGAGGGUCAUUGGAAACUGGGGAACUUGAGUGCAGAAGAGGAGAGUGGAAUUCCACGUGUAGCGGUGAAAUGCGUAGAGAUGU